UACAGAGGGUGCGAGCGUUGUUCGGAAUUACUGGGCGUAAAGCGCGCGCAGGCGGCCUUUUAAGUCUACCCGUGAAAUGCCGGAGCUCAACUCCGUGCACGCCGGGGGAUACUGGGAGGCUGGAGACAGGUAGAGGCAAGCGGAAUUCCGGGUGUAGCGGUGGAAUGCGUAGAUAUCCGGAAGAACACCGGUGGCGAAGGCGGCAUCCUGGACCGGCAUUGACGCUGAGGAGCGAAAGCCAGGGGAGCAAACGGG
rnacentral:rRNA from 1 species